GUUGCAACGUCUGCUCUGUCUAAAGGAAGAAGUUUGUUGACCAGAUAGCCUGAGAUCGUAUUGCUGUAUCAACCAAAAGAUGCAGAUACACGUAUUUCAUAUGCGCGUCUGUGCAUGAGGAGGAGAUUUUCUGAAAAAGAAUAAGUGCUUAUUCAACUUACUGCGAUUUUAACGGGCUUAAAGCUUGGUCCAUGGAUGGUUAUGUUUGAGGAUUUGCCAAUUCGACCGCAAGUGCUGCUGCAAGAAAUUAA